rnacentral:rRNA from 1 species
CCUACGGGCGGCAGCAGUGAGGAAUAUUGGUCAAUGGCCGAGAGGCUGAUCCAGCCAAGUCGCGUGAGGGAAGAAUGUCCUAUGGAUUGUAAACCUCUUUUGUCAGGGAGCAAAGUCACCCACGUGUGGGUGUUGGAGAGUACCUGAAGAAAAAGCAUCGGCUAACUCCGUGCCAGCAGCCGCGGUAAUACGGAGGAUGCGAGCGUUAUCCGGAUUUAUUGGGUUUAAAGGGUGCGUAGGCGGGUUAUAAAGUCAGCGGUAAAAUCGUGGAGCUAAACUCCAUCCAGCCGUUGAAACUGAUGGUGUGGAGUGGGCGAGAGUGAGGUGGAAUGCGUGGUGGAGCGGUGAACUGCAUAGAGAUCAUGCAGA